rnacentral:snoRNA from 2 species
CCCCUCUUAGGAUCACACCUGGAGAGUUUCCAGUACUCUACCAGUUUCAGCUACAGGAGGGAGAGUCAAGCAGAGGCAUACCCAUUCCAUUCCUAGCUUGGCCAGAGGCUAGCAGGUGGAAGGCAAUCUUCUACAAGU